rnacentral:tRNA from 1 species
UGUAGCGCAAUGGAUAACGCGUUGGACUUCUAAUCCAGAGGUCGUGGGCUCGAAUUCUACUUGAAAAG